UUCAAAAUGGUCCCAAAGGAGCCCACCAC
rnacentral:piRNA from 1 species